UUUUCAGGGCGCGCCCGAAGGAAAAUGGCACACUUUUGCCAUCUGCCAGAAUUUGGGACGAACACCACUGGUGCCCACCCAGAUGCUCUCAUGAAGGUGAUCCCAAGUGCGGGCCUUUUUGUACAUGCGUGAAAGGACAAAAUACCGCAAGAUAUUUCUGCGUCAAUUUAGCUGGUGGGAGGCGCUAAAACGAUAUAUGGGAAGCACCGUGGGAGCGCUGUAGGAACGCUACAGGUUCUCAAAGUCACGGCAUCUAACAACAUGUGUAUUCUCGAUUAUUAAAGUCAGAUCAUUUAUGCAAUGUUUAUUAUAUACAUUGCAUAAUGAUACUACACAAUAAAGCAAUCGAAACUGGA